UUAGAAAAUUCUCACUUUUUAGGCUAAGCUCGUAUUUGAAGAUACAAGUUGAGGUGUGUCUUGGGAUAGUGUGACUAAAAAACGAACCUUCAGUUUCUGCAAUCAGAAGAAAAGUGAGUGAUUUUUCAAUGAAAACAUAAUACUUCUGAGCAUAAGCAUGAUAAAGUGCAGCAACUGACUUGGCUUAUUGUUUUGGAAAUCGCAACCGGUACUCACCUAAUUGUUUUUGAGACCACUGGUGUUGUUACUGCCUCCAGAAGCUGCAAUCUAAAGCCUUCUAUAAGAAUAUCAUCACAGAGUAGAUCAAAAAGUUGGAGCGGCGAGAUAACAGUACUGAUUGAUUUUGAUAUGCUGAAAAUUUGCCAAAGUUGAGUCGCCAGGAACUUGAAGUAGCGUGUGAGGAUUUUAGCAACUUAAUUGGCUCAACUCCAGAGAAUGUAGUCUACAAAGGAACAAUGAAGGAUGGACCUGAGGUUUCUUUCAUAUCAUUAUUCCCCCUUGAAGGUCACUGGACUAGCCAGCAUGAGCUCUUUUACCAAAACAAGGUUAUUGAUAUGGCAAGGUUGAAUCAUGAGAACAUAGCAAAGUUUCUGGACUAUUGCAGAGAGAGUGACCCAUUCUCGAGGAUGUUAGUCUUUGAGUACGCAUCAAAUGGGACCCCAUGGGGAAGCGGCCCAAUUCUCUUGGCUCAGAUGAAUGAAAAUAGCCAUCGUCAUCGCCCAAAGUUUAAGGUAUCUGCACACCGAGUCACGGCCUACUAUCGCUAUAUCAGAGCUGAAAUCCAAUUCAGUAUACGUUACAGAAGAUUUUACCCCCAAGGCUGACGACAUCGUCUACUGAAGCCCCACCGGCGAUGUGACGAGAGAGCUCCAACCUGUACGUGGGUGUGGGGACGCAGAUCCGCGUCGCCAGCCUACACAAGGCCAUGGUCAAUGCGCCGACGGAGGGUUCAUCAUCCGGCUUCGUCAGGUGACUUUCCAUGCGAUUUCUACUUCUAAAAAUUAGAAAAUACCUUCAGAUCAAAGCAGUGGAUUUGUAGAUUUCUGGGUAUUGUUGCCACUCCAUCUCCAUCCAGCUUACGGUCUUUGGUCACUGAUUCUGAG